rnacentral:snoRNA from 13 species
CGGCUGUAGCUAUAUCAAAUGAGAUGCUAACUGGCCGGCUGUUGUGUGAGGUGGAUUUUCCCAUCUCCGAUUGACUGAUCUGCUUACCGAGCCUCUCACAAUC